rnacentral:ncRNA from 1 species
AAUAUUGGACAUAAACAAGGUGCCGAGUUGGCUUAAAAGGGAAUCCUGUGCGAAUCAGGAACGGUCCCGCCGCUGUAAUCGGGGACGAAGGCUGCAAAAAACCACUAUCAGGCAUGGUCUGAUGGGAAGGGGCGGCCGGGAGGAUGAACCGAGAGUCAGAAGACCUGCCUUCAUGGAUGAAUGUAG